GAUCAGGGAGCAGAGACCCACGUGGUUCACGCUCAUUGACUGUCAAUGGGCACAACACCGGGUCCUCAGGAGGAUGCAGCCCAUGAAUUGGGACACAGUUGCGCUCACUGAGUCACGUGAGCGCACAGCAACAAAUCGCUGCAGAGCUGGGUAAAGGGGGCGGAGUAAAGUGUGUGUGCAGGAGAGGAGUCGAGCAGAGAGAGCUGCUUUUUCGUGAAACGGGAGUAAAGUAGUAAACUUACAGGAUCAUAUACAACUACCUACUUUUCAAUCGAUAUCUGCAUCGAUCUACCCACCGUUGUCUCUUGGAUUGCAGCUGAGAUCAGCGCGAACCACGUGUGUCUCAGCUUCCUGAUCUGUUAACUGUGUUUGGAAAGGCUUCUAGCUUAAUCACAGAGUUCUCUCGUUCGUGGGCUCAUCUAAAGCCACAAGGGGCAGUACCCUCCAUGGAGAAGGAGGCUAGAGGGCAAGAUCAAAGUAGCACGGAGGGAGGUUAGCCAACUAACGGAGUUGCAGAAAGGUGCGACAAAGAAGGUGCAUAAGAAAUACAGCAAGCUGUCCAUACCUGAGGCCUUGGAAACUGCCAAGCAAAGACUCACAGCCUUGGCCAGCCGCUUGAGGAGGUACGCCAGAGAGAUCGAAGGCAGGAGAAUAAACCAGCUGUUCUCCACAGAACCAGCAAAGGUGUACUCUCAGUGGCAGAGGAACAAUAGCAGAACAGCACCACCAAGGCUGGAGACAGAGCAAUACUGGAAGAGCAUAUGGGAGAAGGACGCAACCCAUAACGGCAAUGCUCAGUGGCUAGUGGAUCUGAGGGCAGACCAUAGCGACCUCCCUGAACAGGGUCCGGUAACCAUCACAGUGGCAGACAUCCAAGAAAGGGUCUCCAGUAUGAAGAGUUGGACAGCACCAGGGCCCGACAUGGUUCACGCCUACUGGCUGAAGAAGCUGACUGCACUCCACGAGCGUCUGGCAGCACAAAUGAACCAGCUGCUAGUUAACGAGAGACACCCGGAAUGGCUAACCGAAGGUCGGAUGGUCCUGAUCCCCAAGGACCCCAAGAAGGGACCGAUCCCAUCCAACU
ensembl:lncRNA